rnacentral:rRNA from 1 species
AAGCAGGAGCUUGCUCUUGUGGAUCAGUGGCGAACGGGUGAGUAACACGUGAGCAACCUGCCCCUGACUCUGGGAUAAGCGCUGGAAACGGCGUCUAAUACUGGAUAUGUGACGUGACCGCAUGGUCUGCGUUUGGAAAGAUUUUUCGGUUGGGGAUGGGCUCGCGGCCUAUCAGCUUGUUGGUGAGGUAAUGGCUCACCAAGGCGUCGACGGGUAGCCGGCCUGAGAGGGUGACCGGCCACACUGGGACUGAGACACGGCCCAGACUCCUACGGGAGGCAGCAGUGGGGAAUAUUGCACAAUGGGCGAAAGCCUGAUGCAGCAACGCCGCGUGAGGGAUGACGGCCUUCGGGUUGUAAACCUCUUUUAGCAGGGAAGAAGCGAAAGUGACGGUACCUGCAGAAAAAGCGCCGGCUAACUACGUGCCAGCAGCCGCGGUAAUACGUAGGGCGCAAGCGUUAUCCGGAAUUAUUGGGCGUAAAGAGCUCGUAGGCGGUUUGUCGCGUCUGCUGUGAAAUCCCGAGGCUCAACCUCGGGCCUGCAGUGGGUACGGGCAGACUAGAGUGCGGUAGGGGAGAUUGGAAUUCCUGGUGUAGCGGUGGAAUGCGCAGAUAUCAGGAGGAACACCGAUGGCGAAGGCAGAUCUCUGGGCCGUAACUGACGCUGAGGAGCGAAAGGGUGGGGAGCAAACAGGCUUAGAUACCCUGGUAGUCCACCCCGUAAACGUUGGGAACUA